GGUAGCAUGGCCGAGCGGUCUUAAGGCGCUGGUUUAAGGCACCAGUCAUUUCGAUGGCGUGGGUUCGAAUCCCACUGCUGCCA
rfam:Ciona savignyi cont_35013, whole genome shotgun sequence.